UGGGGAAUUUUGGACAAUGGGCGAAAGCCUGAUCCAGCAAUGCCGCGUGUGUGAAGAAGGCCUUCGGGUUGUAAAGCACUUUUGUCCGGAAAGAAAUCCUUGGCUCUAAUACAGUCGGGGGAUGACGGUACCGGAAGAAUAAGCACCGGCUAACUACGUGCCAGCAGCCGCGGUAAUACGUAGGGUGCAAGCGUUAAUCGGAAUUACUGGGCGUAAAGCGUGCGCAGGCGGUUUGCUAAAGACCGAUGUGAAAUCCCCGGGCUCAACCUGGGAACUGCAUUGGUGACUGGCAGGCUAGAGUAUGGCAGAGGGGGGUAGAAUUCCACGUGUAGCAGUGAAAUGCGUAGAGAUGUGGAGGAAUACCGAUGGCGAAGGCAGCCCCCUGGGCCAAUACUGACGCUCAUGCACGAAAAGCGUGGGGGAGCAAAACAGGAUUAGAUACCCUGGUAGUCCACGCCCUAAACGAUGUCAACUAGUUGUUGGGGAUUCAUUUCCUUAGUAACGUAGCUAACGCGUGAAGUUGACCGCCU
rnacentral:rRNA from 1 species